rnacentral:rRNA from 1 species
AGGUUAGUGCAAUGGCAUAAGCCAGCUUGACUGCGAGCGUGACGGCGCGAGCAGGUGCGAAAGCAGGUCAUAGUGAUCCGGUGGUUCUGAAUGGAAGGGCCAUCGCUCAACGGAUAAAAGGUACUCCGGGGAUAACAGGCUGAUACCGCCCAAGAGUUCAUAUCGACGGCGGUGUUUGGCACCUCGAUGUCGGCUCAUCACAUCCUGGGGCUGAAGUAGGUCCCAAGGGUAUGGCUGUUCGCCAUUUAAAGUGGUACGCGAGCUGGGUUUAGAACGUCGUGAGACAGUUCGGUCCCUAUCUGCCGUGGGCGCUGGAGAACUGAGGGGGGCUGCUCCUAGUACGAGAGGACCGGAGUGGACGCAUCACUGGUGUUCGGGUUGUCAUGCCAAUGGCACUGCCCGGUAGCUAAAUGCGGAAGAGAUAAGUGCUGAAAGCAUCUAAGCACGAAACUUGCCCCGAGAUGAGUUCUCCCUGAGACUUAGAGUCUCCUGAAGGAACGUUGAAGACGACGACGUUGAUAGGCCGGGUGUGUAAGCGCAGCGAUGCGUUGAGCUAACCGGUACUAAUGAACCGUGAGGCUUAACCUU